UUUUUUUUUUUUUUUUUUUUGAGAUGGAGUCUCACUCUGUCACCCAGGCUGGAGUGAGCGAGAUCUGGGCUCACUGCAAGCUCCGCCUCCCAGGUUCACGCUAUUCUCCUGUCUCAGCCUCCCGAGUAGCUGGGACUACAGGUGUCUGCCACCUUGCCCGGCUGAUUUUUUGUAUUUUUAGUAGAGACGGGGUUUCACCGUGUUAGCCAGGAUGGUCUCGAUCUCCUGACCUCGUGAUCCCGCCCGUCUCGGCCUCCCAAAAUGCUGAGAUUACAGGCUUGAGCCACUGUGACCGGCCUAGUAAAUUCUUUAUAAGUGACUAGUUGAGUGAUGACAUUUUGAGGAGUGUUGAGAACUCAAAAGUGUUCAAAAUGAGCAUCUCCCAUUCCCUCAAUGAACUUAAAAUGUAGGAAAAUGACCAGCAUUAAACAUUUUCUCACAUAAACACAUAAUUAUAGUAAAGCAAUAAAGGGUAUGAAGGGAAAAGUUAAAAGCACAGUGCAAGAAUGUAACAUGUUAAGCAGCUUUUUCCCCACCGCUACACCCAGUAUGGAUGUGCAGAGUAGUUGUCCUAGAAACCGCACGGACUAACAAUUUCACAGCUCCGACAUGGGCAGCGCUGCCCACUGCUCUGCCUGCAUCAAGGUUCACUCUUGUGUUAGUCAGGAAACAGAGCUGGGCCACCAUGCUUCCUGAGAGCCAGGGAUGGUCCCUCCCUGGCUCACAGGAUUGUCUGAUUGGCCACUGCCUGGAAAGGUCUAUUUGGGGUUUGCCAAAGGAAAAUGUAAAUGUUUGUUGCAAGGCAGAAAGCUUGAAACAUACUCUUCUGGUUUUCUAAGACUCCUUCCAGACUGUCCACAACAACAAAGAUAGCAUUCUUUAUACAUCUCUCUCUAGUUCAAAACUCAACCACACACAUCAUUCAGCGUGGGCCUCGCAGCCCCCCAGAGAGGCACAGCUUAAUGUUCUUGCUUACCAGGUAAGGGAAUCAAGGCUCAGAAAGGUUAAGUGCCUUGCUCAAGAUCACACAGUGAACGCAUUGUGGCUCUGGGAUUCAAACCCAGCUCUCCUGAAUCAAAAGCAAGAGCUCUUGCCACCAUGCCCUGGUGCUUACCUCCUAAGAUGUUCAUCACCCCAGUUCCAGGGAUGAUUGUUUACAUUCUCAUUUCUGUUGCCAUCUGGGUUUUGAGCACUUCAGGAACAAUUCUAGUCUUUCUGGAACUUAAGUGUGGUAGGCAGAAGAUGAGUCACAAGGAACAGAUAUGCUAAAAGUAUCUCUUAGUAGGAGAAGGAAAUUCAAAUGGCCAGCGUCACAUUGUCAGAGAUGAAGGUCUGGGCAACUGACAAAUUGAGUCUUCAACAAAAAUCCAUGGGAAGCAGUACGUUGAUUAAGAGAAAGAUAUAAGGAAUAGUUUUGUUAAGACAUGGGAGUCUCCAAGUGGCAGA
rnacentral:lncRNA from 1 species